AAUAAUAUUGUAAUUAAUGUGAAAAAUGGGUUGAAAUGUUAUAAGAUUCAAAACAUCUGAAAUACUGAUAAAAUAUAACAUCUAUAAAAUUGAAUAUUGUCUGAAAAUCUAAUCUGAAAAGUCUCUAACUGAAUCUGUCUGAAAAUGGAAUUGAUGGGACAAUCCCCCAACUAACUCCAUUUACUGAACUACUAUAUCUACUGAAAAUAUAAAAUAAUAGAAUAUCCUCGAAUGAUGAGGACUCACUGCUAAAUCUACUGCUGCUGGCUGAAUCUGAAUCUACUAUGUGUGGUUAGAAAUCUGAGCGUCUGAACCUAUAGCGCAGAAAAGUAUACGUCAGUACGUGGGAAUGUACUGGUGUGCUAGAUGAGGUAAGACAGAAUGCAAGGGUUCAUAUGCAUGAACAGUAACUGACUGAAUGAUAUAGAGUAACUGAAUAUGAAAGUACAUGGAUAACUGAAACUACUGUAAAUACUGAGUAUGUAAUAUUGUGCAUAUAUGCACGCUAUAACUGAGCUUUUGAUAGAAUGUUGAAUCCUCACUUUUGAAAGUGAGGAUCGAGACGUCAUAAAUUUAAUGAUUUACAAUGUUCGAAAAAAGAAAUUAGGUAUUCUUGCACGAAAAUCGAGCGAGGAUCUGGAAGUAGGUCGGCUAGGCACUAAUGUCAAUGAGAUUUGGAUUUGAUGAGCUAUUAAAUUGUACUCUUGAAGGCUUUUGAAGAGCAUCUUUGAACUAUUUCAGAAAAUUGCCCCAGUUUGAAUACUGAAGAAAUUAUUCUGAAACAGUGAAAAGAUCAAAACCUAAUGCAGGGCUGCCUACAUAUCUUGUCAGAACAAGAAUCAAAUCAAAACGUAGUUCAAACCUAUAUGCAACUAUCGACAAUGUUGAUAAGGAUCUUUUAACUGAUUCAUUAUGCAAAAUAAAGGUUAUCUCACUAAAGUAUAAUCAAUUUAGAGAAAAUAAUAUGUACAGAGACAAUAAUCCUUCAAAUAUAUAUAAAGACUAUAAUAAUAUGUCUCUCGGGGUGUGAACCCUUCAAACAUUUGGACAAAAUUGACUAACAAUGCAUGUACCUAAAAAGGGGCUAUUGUAGCUCUAUUCUAUGCUGACUAAGAGUGGGUAGACACAGACUUGAAUUUCUUAUAUGAGAAGGCACGUAGUCCCACGACAGUAAAACUCCUACUCACUCCACAUAUAUGCCAACUCUCUAAAAUAAGGUGAUUUGAAAAAAAUUGAGAAAGUACAAUGUACAAUCCGCGUGUACAAUGUGUGUGGGUAUCAAUUUUCCAAAAUAGAGAAAAUAUGAACGGAAUGACAAUUUAUAUAAAGCGAAAAACAAAUAAACAAUUUAUAAAAUAAUAACAAAUAAAUAAUUUAAGCCAUAUAAACAUGAUAAAUCAAGACAAUUAGUAUGAAAUAAAUAACAAUUUAUAAAAACAAAAAUAAUUACCUAAAUCUGUAAUGGUUAGAACCUUGAUUCCCCCCCAGAGUCGCCAAAUUAUCAUACCCGAUUUUUAUCUAAAGUCAAAAUGAGUAUGACAUUAUGAACUCAAAAAGAAUUAAUUAUAUACAGAGUGACCAACUAAUUUUUAAGGAAAAAUAGGAAACUUAUUUAUUUGUUUAACAAAUAUGACUUUAUUUAAUCUACGAAAAAUGAUCAAAAAUACACCUAAACUAUCUGAAAUAGCUCAAAAAUGUCCCUCGUUUGAUUUUUUACUCAAAAAUACCCCUCCGUUAAAUAUUUGGCUCAAAAAUACCCUUCUCUUUAACAGAAUACGGAAAAAGAUCAAAAAUACCCUUGAACUAUCUAAAAUGGGUCAAAAAUACCUCUGUUAAAUAUUUGGCUCAAAAAUAUCCCUCCCCAUAACGAAAUUAAAUUAUUUCGAUUGAAUUAAACCCUAACUUCAACUUUUCAACCCUAAUACUUUAAUUUUUUUACAUAAAAAUAUUUUUUUUAAUUUUAAAAAUAAGAUAAUGAAAAAAAGUAUUUGAAUGAUAAUAUAAAUUGGUUGAAUUUGAUUUGAAAAAUAAACAUACAUUUAUUCUAAAAAGGUAUUUUCACUUUACAUCGUUUUAAUCUUUAAAGAAAUUAACGAAAUAUAAAUUAACGAAAUUAAUGAAAUAUAAAUUUUCACUUAAAGAAAUUAACGAAAUAAAAAUUAAAUGAUGAACUUUAUAUAAAUUAACGAAAUAAUCGAAAUAAUUUAAUUUUGUUAAAUACCCCUCUGUUAAAUAUUUGGCUCAAAAAUACCCCGCCUCUUAACGAAAUUAAAUUAUUUCGAUUGAACUAAACCCUAACUUUAACUUUUUAACCCUAAUACUUUAAUUUUUUUUUACAUAAAAGUAUUUUUUUAAUUUUAAAAAUAAGAUAAUGAAAAAAAGUAUUUAAAUUACAAUAUAAAUUGGUUGAAUUUAAUUUGGAAAAUAAACAUACAUUUAUUCUAAAAAGUAUUUUCACUUUACAUCUUUUUAAUCUUUAAAGAAAUUAAUGAAAUAUAAAUUAACGAAAUAUAAAUUUUCGCUUAGAGAAAUUAAUGAAAUAUAAAUUAAAUGAACUUUAUAUAAAUUAAUAAAAUAAUCAAAAUAAUUUAAUUUCGUUAAAGGAGAAGUAUUUUUGAGCCAAAUAUUUAACAAAAGGGUAUUUUUGAUCAAUUUUAGAUAAUUCAAAAGUAUUUUUGAUCCUUUUUCAAAUUUCGUUAGAGGAAGGGGUAUUUUUUAGCCAAAUAUUUAAUGCGGAGGUAUUUUUGAGCCACAAAUCUAACAAAUGACAUUUUAAAGCUAUUUCGAAUAAUUCAGAGGUAUUUUUGAGCGUUUAAUCUAUGAAACCAGUUUGAAUUCCAAGUAAAGAUUCAAAUUAUUUCGAAGGAAAGGAGUUAAGCACCCUUCAAAGUACAUAAAUAUGAUUUUCGACCAGACUUGGGUUUAUUAAAAAGUAAAGAGAAAAACUCAAUGGUUAUAAAUACAAAUAUACAGUAUUAUUGAAAUAUACAAUGCAUAUGUUAUCAUAAAAUAUAUAUAAAUAAAAUAUAUAAUUAUGUAUGUAAAGACAAAAUUGAAAAAAAAAAUGUUUUAAGGAAUAAAAGCUAUGUAAUAUUUAUUAAUGUAAAAGGUGUGAAUUAUUUGAUUAAAUAUCCAAAUUAAUUUUAAUAUAAAUAUUAAAGGUCCAAAUCAAUUAUAUUAAAGAAAAAAAAUAUGCAAUAUCUUUCAAUGUAUAAAUAUUUUUAAUUUUUUUAAUAUAAAUAUUAAUGGCAUAAAUUUAUCUAAAGGCGUGGUGAAUAUUUGUAUAAAAGCAUUCCCACCCAACGCCCCAAAAAAUAAAGUUUCUCACAAACAUAAAAAUUAAAAAUUAAAAUAUUUGCACAAGUGUAAGAAUAUAAAAUACAAACAUAAAAAUUAAAAAUUUCUUUGCAUGUCAUUCCCGAUAAAUAUUUCCAAUAACUCGUAUAAACACUUGAAGUAAAAUGUUAAUAACAAAUAAGCAACUAUCACAAUAAAUUGAGAACGUAUUUGUGCAUAUAUGUAUAAAAAAUAUAAUUUUUCAAUAAAAGAUAGGCCCAGAUUAAAUUUCAUAUACGGCAUGACUACGAAGUGGUUGCUUUAUUAGCCGUCCUAAAUCAUAUUGCCAAGACACGAAUCAUAAAGCUUUUUGCGUUGUUAUAAAAAUUUCGUCAUCACCCAAAUUUAUUUAUUUUAUUACGUACUUAUAUACGUAAUAUCCGUCUUUUUAUUUGUGCACGCCUCAAAAAUCGAUGAAAAAUUUCUUCAUCGACCAUGUGUUGGCCUUUAAUAUAAAAUAAUAACUUUGAUAAAAUAAAGUCGUCUUUUGUAAUGGGAUAGCCUCAAAUAUCUAGACGGAGAAAUAAUUUCAUUGGUCAAAUAUUAAAAAAAUAAUUAAAAAUUUAUAUGACAUUGAUGAAUAAGAAGCAAUUCAAACGUAAUACUUUACAUGGAGUAAUAAAUCAGCUGCAAUAUAGGAUCAAAAGGCUAAGGGGUCGUUUGGUAGAAUGUAUUAAAAUGUUAAUGCAUGCAUUAGUUUAAUGUGUAUUAAUAGUACCUUGUUUGGUAUACCUUUUUACCCUAUGUAUAAUUAAUGCAAGCAUUAGUUAUACACAUUAUUGUGUAUCGAGAUGUGUAUUACUAAAUACCUCAAAAUCCAUGGCAGUAGUAAUGCAAUGAAUCUAACGUAUGCAUUAACAUGCUUAAAGACCUAUUACCCCUCAAAAAAAUUUCCGCAUCCUUUCUAACAUAUAUAUUGAGGGUAUUAUGUAAAAGAUUUUUUUUUUUUAAGAAACUAUGUAAUUCAUGUUUUUUUUAAUACAUCGAACCAAACACUGGAUAAGAAAAAUACAACUAUAACUAACAUAAGCAUUACUAAUACAAGCAUUAUUAAUACACUAUAUUUUACAUUAUUCCUAUAUAUUCUACCAAACGACCUCUAAGAGGUCGUUUGGUAGAGUGCAUUAGAAAACUAAUGCAUGCAUUAGUUUAAUGUGUAUUAUUAGUACAUUGAUUUGUUCAUUUUUUACCCUAUGUAUAACUAAUGCACUCUAUUGUGUAUUGUGGAGUGCAUUACUAAUACCACCCCUUUCCUAUAAUUAGUAUUGUGUAUUGUGUAUUGUGAAGUGAAUUACUAAUAUUACUCAUUUCCUAUGUAUUAGCAAUACAAAUGAAUUCAAAGCAUGUAUUAGCUUGAUUAAUGACGUAACUACCCCUCCAAUCCUUUUAAAAAAUUUUUCAGUUCCUUCUCUAUCUUUACCGAUGCAACAAUACAGGUAAUUGAGAUGGCAAAAUUCAAAUCAGAAGUGAUCUUAUUUGUGUGCUUGGUGAAGAGUUUAACUAUUCAUACUAUUGCCUUGUUCCUAUUUUUAAAUUUAAACACAAACUUGAUAUCUGGGAGCAUCUAGGAACAGUUUUUCAAAAAAAAACAUGUUGUAACCCAAAAGCUGACUCUAAUCCAUGGAAAACAUUACAAUGGCAAUUUUCCUCGAGAAACUUGAAGCAAUGCUAAUAGGCAACAAUUAUUUACAUCCAUUUUGGGGGAAAAAGAAAGAGAAGUUUUCAAUAAGAAUUGUACAAGGUUAAAGAAUAUAAAGGGUAUUUUUGUAAAUAAAUAUUUUUUAAUAGAAAUUAUAUAAGAUAUAUUCUUUUUAAUACAUUAAACCAAUCAGUGUAUAACAAAUAAUACCAACAUAACUAAUAUCAUCAUUACUAAUGCAUCAUUAUUAAUACACAAUAUUCAACAUUAUUCUUAUACACUCUACCAAACAACCCCUAACUAUGAUACCGAGGAGAGCAAGUAUAAUUUGGCCAGGAAAGUUCAAAAAAAUAACUUAAAAAUUAAACAACUUUCUGAAACAGAGGCGGAUCUAGAAUUUAAAGGUGGUGGGUUUCCAACUUAUAAUUUUUACCACUUUGUUUGUGGAUUCUUAACUUAUAAUUCUUAAAUAGUAUUUACUAAUUUUUUCAAUAUAAAUUCAAAAAUCGAACGAAAAUUAUGAGUUUCCGAAAAUCCGCGCUUUAUGUUGUGCUUCCGCCCCUAUUCUGGAACUAAACAACAAUAAUGACAAUCAGCAAACCCAACUUAAAUGUAUUGGUAUUAACGUGCACACGUAGAAACAAAUGAAAUACUUUAAACCAGCAUUUUUUUUGUAAAAGAUGGUAAAAAAAAUAAUUUAAAAGAAAAGGCACAUGAACUGAUAAAUAUCAGCAAAUAGCUACAGACCAAAUAAAACAUUUAGCUACCAUAUUUAGUCAAGAAAAAUAGUCAAUAACAAGAAUAAUAAUGCAACAAUGUUAACAACAAUAACAGUCAGUCAAUGUAAAAAAAAUGGUAAAACGAUGCCCCAAAUGCUAAUAAAAAUUAAACAAACCAUCACCACAUCAGUCCAACAAACUGCAAAGGAGAUUGCGUCGAGCAAACUACAAUAUUUUUCGGCCAGAUCUAUGCAAAAAGGCAAUCUAUGCAUUUUUCGGCCAAAAAGGCUACAAUAUAUACAAAAUAUACAAAAAGGCAAGAGACAAAGAGAAGUCACCGGAAAAGAGUAAUUUUCGGCCAGAUCUAUGCAUCAAAUAUCAAUGACGAAAAUAUACCAUUUUUCAUAGCCAAAAACGAAUCAAAGGGCGAUGGGGAGGGGACUGCUGCGCUGGUGGCGGCGUUGGAGGUUCACCGGACAUCUGGCGGUUAAAUCCGUCGGCGGCAGUGUGAUGGGGAAAGGGUAAAGAGAGGCGGCGGGUUGGGAAGCUCGCGGAUGUGUUGUUUUGGUGCCUCGCCGGUCAUCACUUCCGGCGACGCAAGGCAGCGACGAGCGGGGAGACAGUGGCUUUCCAGUGGCUGGUAAUGGGAGACGAAGGAGGGAGAAGAUAGAGGGAGAGAAAGGUGGUGGUGGAUCGCCGAGCUCGGCGGUGGAGCAGCCAUGGAUGUGCAGAAAAGAGAAGAUGCUUAGUUUUGAAAGAGAGAGACGUUUGAGAGAGAAAAUAAAUCUAAUGUAUGUGUAUAUGUUUUGUAAUUAAAAUUCACCACCUCCUCUUUACCCAAAAAAUAAGAGGUUAAACCUUCUUGUUCCCUUAAAAACUUAUUUUAGUGCAAAAUUAUUAACCAAAAGAUUAUUUCGUUCUUUUAACUAACGUAUAAAAAUUAUAUUCAGGGGAUAAAAAUACUAAUCCGUCACUUCGAAUGUUAUCUUUUAAAAUGUGAUAAAUAAAUAUAUAAACUUAAAUUUGCAGAUCAUAUUAAAUAAUAUAUAAAAAUAUAAAUAUCGAUAUAUAAUUACAAAAAAUAUAAGUAACAUAAUUAUCUUGAAAAAUAUAUUAUGCUAUAAAUAAUUAAAAUUAUAAUAUGUAAAAAAGAAUUGCAGCGUUAUGUUAUGUACAUAUGCAAAUGACUGUGUAAAAAUAUUAAAAUAAUAAUAGACCGAUAAAAAUCUUAAAAUUUAUAAAAUUAAAGAUAAUUAUCAAUAAAUCAUGUAAAAUAAAAAAUAUGACGAUAAACGAAUAAACAGUGUAAAAUAAUGAUGAUUAUCAAUAAUUUAUUAAUAAUUGUAAAAAAUAUAUGAAAAAUUGCAUAUUGUGUCAUUUAAUGAUCAAGGAGCCUAAAGGCGUUAUUUUUAAGUAUGGAGAACCAAAAUAGGGUGUCAACAGUUUGUCCCUUUUCGUUUGAAGAUAAUGUAAAACUAUUCAAAUGAAAACGUAGUCAAUUUUUCUUGAAAAAAUAUUAUUUUUAUCAAAAAUUCGAGUAAACUCCAAUUUAGAAUUGCUAUCUCAAAAUGUCCUAAUUUAGGGUGGACGAACUCAAUGUAUACUCAAAUUUUAUGCCUGCAAAAAUUUAUAAAACUGAAAACAAUAGAUAAACGAGUAACUAAGCUUGAUUUUUUUUUCAAGAAAUUAGAAAAAUGACAUGUAAGCUUUAACUAAUGUAAAGAUAAAUAAAUAAACUCAUUGCACAAUUUUAACCGAAUACAAAAAAAAUAUUCAACUGAAGACAGACACACAUAAAGAUCUUAUUAGAGGGCAUACUAUUUCAAAAUGUUCUAUUUUAAGUUGGACGGACUCAAUUUAUCCUCAAAUUAUAUGCUUGCAAAUGCAUCAAUUUAAGAAGUACUGUUCAAUAAACACAAAUAAAAUAUGUGUGCAAAGGCAAAGAUGACAUGCAAUGCUUAAAUGGUGAAAAAUGCAUUACGAUAUAUGCGUACAGUGUUUAAAAAAGAAAAUAAAUGCAUUGCGAUAUGCGUUAGCAAAGGCAAAGAUGACAUGCAGUGCUUAAAUAGUGAAAUAAAUAUAUUGCGAUAUUUGCGAGGUAUGCAGUGCUUAAAUAAUAAAAUGCAUUGUGAUAUGAGCCAAUAAAGACAAAGAUGACAUGCAAUGCUCAAAUAAUAAAAUAAAAUGCAUUGCGAUGUGCAAAUAAAGAUAAAGAUAGCGUGCAGUGCUUAAAGGAUAACAUAAAAGCAUUGCGUUGUAUGCAAAUAAAGAUAAAACUAACAUACAGUGCUUAAAAUGAUGAAAUAAAUGCAUGCAAGUAAAGGGAAAAAUAAACUAUAGUUCUUAAACUAUAAAAUAAAUACAUUGUAAUGCGUGCAAGUAAGGCCAGAAUAAAAUGCGAUGCUUAGAUGAUAAAAUAAAUGCAUUGUGAUGCGUGCAAGUAAAGGCAAAAAUAGAAUGCGGUGCUUGAACGAUAAAAUAAAUGUAUUGCGAUGCGUACAAAUAAAGACAAAGAUAAAAUGCAGUGCUUAAAUGAUAAAAUAAAUGCAUUGCGAUAUGUGUCAGCAAAGGCAAAAACAACACGCAGUGUUAAAUAAUAAAAUAAAUGCAUUGUUAGAUGUGUAAAUAAAGACAAGAAAAAUAUACAGUACGUAAAUAAUAAAUGAUAAAAUAAAUACAUUGUGAUGUAUGCAAAUAAAGAUAAAGAUAGCAUACAGUGCAAAAAAAAAUAAAUGAAGUGUGAUAUGUGCAAGUAAAGACAAGCAAGCAUAAAUAUUAAAUUGAAAAAAACAUACAUAACUGUCUUGUGGAGGGCAGACUGGCCCAAUUAUCCUAUUUUAAGGUGGACAAAUCUAUGCAAAAAUAAUUAUUGAGCAAAAAAUUAUUUGGGGAUGAAAGUGCUCAUAUAUCCUCGAUGUUGCUUUCAAAUUUGUCCAGUAUCGAGCUGUGAGGUGCUAGGAGAUGCAGGAUUGUUUACUUAAUGGGGAGAAAGAAUGAUUAUGAGGUUGUGGUGACCGAACUUUGCAUAGAGCUUCCUACUUAUCUCGACUGUUACAAGAAUCAGGUCAUUUUUUUUUUUAAAUGAGAAUAAUAGGAUAAAUUUUUUAGGCGGUUCUCAAAAUUUACCCAGUGUAUGAUUUAUGCUGAUAUGUCUUGUUCUAAGGAAACUAAAAAAAUGAUUUUGCUAUUGUAGAUUGAAAAGAUGCAUGACGUCUCCGAUUAUUUACAGGAACUGAUGCUGAUUGCCGUUUUCGAUUGUCUACGAAGAUUAAGGCCCUCAACUAGUGAGGUGACUGACAUCUAAUAGCCUUUCGACUGACGAGGCUAUUGAAAUGUAAAAAGGCUCUAGACUGCAAAACAAAUGUAAUAGGCUCUCGACUGGAUGGACUAUAAAAAAUGUAAAAAAUAUUUAAAAAUGAGCGCCUAACUAAAAAAUAAAUAUCGAUAUUUAAAGGCAUAUGCUUGAAAGAAAAAGUCAAAUACUUAUAUUUCAAAAUUGAACGCCUUCAAAUAAAAAUAGAAAUACAUGUAUGUGAAAGUGGACACCUUAAAUGAAAGGUAAAACAAAUGCCCAUAUAUGAAUGUGGGCAUCUUGAAAAAAGAAAGAAAGAAUUUUUUAUUUUCUUGAUAAAAAGUGUUGAAUGAGGAAGAAGACACGAUCAUGUCACGGCUUUAGUUGGUACCAAUAAAUAGUAGUAUGCAUAAAAAUUCCCUCAUCUCUUUCCCAUCUAACUGAGAUCGACUUCAGGAUAACUCCUAUAGUUUCAAGUGGUAUCUUAGACACGCCUAAGUAUAGACAAGAUUUGUUCAUCUUACUUCAAACAGUGAUUUUACACUAUGCUCAUUCUCAUGUUUCAAGUGCCCUCUCUAGAAAGAAAGUCUCAUUUCGCACAUAUUUGAGUAAUUUUCUUUUUGAAUUUAGGGACGUCUCAAGAAAUACACUCAUGCUCAAAAAGAAAUUCAAUGUAUGAAAUUAUGAUACCAUAGGCUUAACCUUCAUAUAAGUAUCAACUAAUGUAAGAAAACUUGGAUUGGAAUCACGUAGGACUUGUUAUUGGCUUGUAAUAUAGGCUUGAAGAUAGGUAGGAUGAUAGUUGGGAUAAAAGUGACUUAUUACUCAAUGAGCAUUACACUGUAUUUGUGCUUAUUAUUGCACUUUGAUGCAUCAUCUUCUUUGUCGUGCUUUGUUGCCCCUUAUUUUGUAUUUGCUUACUUCUUUUGAAUUUUGCGUUGGAGUUUUUUUCCCUUUUUUUUUCAAGAAAAUAUAUAUUUUUGUUUUUCUUUCUUUUCUUUUUUCUUUUUGGUAGGAAUUUGCUCCUUUUGAAGUCGUUUUUCAUUUUUGUUCAUCUGAACAAUAUAUUCUUUGCAUUUUUCGUCUUUGAUCUUGAAUCUUCGUCCACAAUUUGCACGUAUUUAGUGCGCUCAAAGAGGUAGGGCCAAGAGAGGAUAGUGCAUGUAAGCACUUAGAAAGGUAUAUGCUCAAAUGCGGUUAUACAAAGAAAAAGUCUUAGGCUCAAAAGAGGGAAUGUUAGGGAUUAAUGUCAUUUGAUGGGAUGUAAAAGGCUCAAUCGGAUAAAAAAAGGCCUAUGAUCCUUUCCUAAACCAAGUGCAACUCAGAAUUUCGCCUUAACAGACAUUAAGGUUAAGUUCUAGAUCAACAAUGCAGUAUAAUGAAUUAAACUAAAGCUCGCCACACAUACGCAUGAAACUAUGAGGUUGACUUUGUUCUUGUCUUAGAUGUAUGCAAGAGAAUUUUUUCAAGAAUUACUCAAGUGUGAUAAAAGGUACCAAAGAAACCUAUUGUUUACCAUAAAGUCGGCCCUUUUCAUCAUACCCAUUUGUUCUUUCUUAUGCACACUCCUAACUGUAUUGACAUCAACUAAGUCAAAAUUAUUUUUUUAUUUAAAAAAUGGGACUGAAUUCAAAAUAAGGAUUGCCUACGUAUCUUGCGAAAACAAGAAUCAGGUCUGCGUAGUUCAGUUAAAUUUGUGAAUUUAUAUGUACAAUGCAUGAUUGUAAAAAAAAUGAUGGUCAUUCUUAAAAAUAAUAUGAAAGAUGAUUAGAAGAGAACUGUUUUUAACAUCAAAAUUGUUCUGAUCAAAUGAUUGAGAAAAUAGAUGUCAAGCAUGGGGAGGGCUUUGACACAACUUCAGUAUGCUGAUAAGAUUGAAAAACUCAGUCAAUGAAGAAAUUAUAAAAUUAUUUUGCUGCAGUUGGCAAAAUUGUUAUGAUUGAAAGAAUAUUGAACCCUCGAUUUUGAAAGUGAGGAUCGAGAAGUCAUAAAUUUAAUGGUUUACGAUGUUCGAAAAAAAUUAGGUAUUCUUGCACGUAAAUCGCCUGAGACUUUAGAAGUAGGCCGACUAGGCACUAAUAUCAAUGAAAUUUGGAUUUGAGGAGAUAUUAAAUUGUGCUCUUGAAGGCUUUUGGAGAGCGUCUUUGAACUGUUUCAGAAAAUUGUCCUAAUUUAAAUACCGAAGAAAUUAUUUUGAAACAGUGAAGAGAUCGAACCCUAAUAUAGGACUGCCUACGUAUCUUGUCAGGACAAGAAUUAGAUUAAAACGUAGUUCAAACCUAUACGCAACUAUCGACAAUGUUGCUAAGGUGCAUCUUUUAAUUGAUUCGCUAUGCAAAACAAAGGUUAUCUCACUAAAGUAUAAUCAAUUUAGAGCAAAUAAAUAUGUACAGACACAAUAAUCCUUCAAAUGUGUAUAAAGACUAUAAUAAUAUGUCACUCGGGUCGUGAACCCUUCAAACAUUUGGACAAAAUUGACUAACAAUGCAUGUACCUAAAAAGGUGAUAUUGUAGCUCUAUUCUAUGCUGACUAAGAAUGGGUAAAUACAAACUUGAAUUUUCUAUAUGAGAAGGCACGUAGUUCCACGACAAUAAAAUUCCCGCUCACCCCAUGUGUACGCCAAUUCUCUAAAAUAAGGUGAUUUAAAAUUUUUUGAGAAAGUACAAUGUACAAUCCGCGUGUACAAUGUGUGUAAGUGUCAAUUUUUCAAAAUGAAGGAAAUAUGAACGGAAUGACAAUUUAUAUAAAGCGAUAAACAAAUAAACAAUCUAUAAAAUAAUAACAAAUAAAUAAUUUAAGCCAUAUACAACAACAACAAUAACAAGCCCAGUGUAUUCCCAUAUAGUAGGGUCUGGGGAGGGUAAAAUGUACGCAGACCAUACCGCUACCCCCGAAGAAGUAGAGUAUUAAAAAAAUUACAAAUAAAUAAUUUAAGCCAUAUACAACAACAACAACAAGCCCACCAGAGUCACCACCAGAGUCGCCAAAUUGUCAUACCCGAUUUUUACCUAAGGUCAAAACGAGCACGACAUUAUGGACUCAAAAAGAAUUAACUAUAUAUAGAGUCGCCACCUAAUUUUUAAGGAAAAAUAGGAAACCUAUUUAUUUGUUUAACAAAUAUGACUUUAAUUAAUCUACGAAAUCAUUUUAAAUUCUAGGUAAGAGUUCAAAUGAUUUCAAAGGGAAGAGGUUAGACACCCUUCAGAAUCCACAAAUGUGGUUCUCGACCAGACUUAGGUUUAUUAAUAGGGAAGAGAAAAAAUCAAUGUUUAUAAAUACAAAUAUACAAUGCGUAUGUUAUCAUAAAAUAUAUAUAAACAAAAUAUAUAACUAUGUAUGUAAAGACAAUAGAAUAAAGAAAAAUUAUUUUAAGGAAAAAAAAACUACGUAAUAUUUAUUGAUGUAAAAGAUGUGAAUUAUUUGAUUAAAUAUAUAAAUUAAUUUUAAUAUAAAUAUUAAAGGCCUAAAUUUGCCUAACGUAUGAUGAGAAUCGCAUAAAAAAUUAAAAAUAUCAAAAAAUUAUAUUAAAGAAAAAAAAUAUGCAAUAUCUUUCAAUGUAUGGAUUAAUUAGUUAAGUAUCUAAAUUAAUUUAAUUUUUUUAAUAUAAAUAUUAACGGCCUAAAUUUACUUAAACGCGUGGUGAAUAUUUGUAUAAAAGCAUUCCAGUCCAACACCGCAAAAAAUAAAAUUUUCACUAUAAUCACUAUUUGUACAAGUGUAAGAAUAUAAAAUACAAACAUAAAAAUUAAAAAUUUCUUUGCAUGCCAUUCCCGAUAAAUAUUUCCAAUAACCUGUAUAAACACUUGAAGUAAAAUGUUAAUAACAAAUAAACAACUAUCAAAAUAAAUUGAGAACGUAUGUGUGCAUAUAUGUAUAAAAAAAUAUAAUUUUUCGUUAAAGGUGAGUACAGAUUAAAUUUCAAAUAUGACAUAGCUACGAAGUGGUUGCUUUAUUAGCCGUUCUAAAUCGUUUUGUCAAGAUACGAAUCAUAAAAUUUUUUGCAUUGUUAUAAAAAUUUCGUCAUCAUCCAAAUUUAUUUAUUUUAUUACGUAUUUAUAUACAUAAUAUCCGUCUUUUUAUUUGUGCAGGCCUAAAAAAUUGAUGAAAAAUUUCUUCAUCGGCCAUAUGUCGGUCCUUAAUAUAAAAUAAUAAGUUUGAUGAAAUAAAAUUCAUCUUUUAUAAUAAGAUGGAUUUAAAUAUGCAGAUGGAGAGAUAAUUUUAUUGACCAAAAAAUAAUGAAAAAUAAUAAAAACUUUAUAUGAUAUUGGUGAAUAAUUAGCAAUUCAAACGUAAUACUUUACAUGGAGUAACAAAUCAGCUGCAGUAUAGGAUCAAAACACUAACUAUGAUAACGAGGAGAGCAAGUAUAACUUGGCCAAGAAAGUUCAAAAAAAUAACUUAAAAAUUAAACAGCUUUCUGGAACUAAACAACAAUAAUGACAAUCAGCAAACCCAACUUAAAUGUAUUGGUAUUAACGUGCAAACAUAGAAACAGAUGAAAUACUUUAAACAAGAACUAAACCAGCAUUUUUUUUUUAAAAGAUGGUACAAAAAAAAUAAUUAAAAAUAAAAGGUGCAUGAACCGAUAAAUAUCAGCAAAUAGCUACAGACCAAAUAAAACAUUUAACAACUAUAUUUAGUCAAGAAAAAUAGUCAAUAACAAGAAGAAUAAUGCAACAAUGUUAACAACAAUAACGGUCGGUCAAUGUAAAAAAAAAUGCUAAAACGAUGCCCCAACUGCUAAUAAAAAUUAAACAAACCAUCAACACAUAAGUCUAACAAACUGCUAAGGAGAUUGCAUCGAGCAAACUAAUGAUAUCCCAAGACUACAAUAUAUACAAAAAGACAAGAGACAAAGAGAAGUCACCGGAAAAGAGUAUUUUUCGGCCAGAUCUGUGCAUUAAAUAUCAAUGACGAAAAUAUACCAUUUUUCAUAACCAAAAACGAAUCAAAGGGCGAUGGGGAGGGGACUGCUGCGCUGGUGGCAGCAUUGGAGGUUCGCCGGCUGUCCGUCGGUUAAUUCCGGCGGCGACAGUGUGAUGGGGAAAGGGUAAAGAGAGGCGGCGGAUAGAGGGAGGCAAGGCAACGACGAGCGGGGAGACAGUGGAUUUUCAGUGGCUGGUAAUGGGAGACGAAUGAGGGAGAAGAUAGAGGGAGGGAAAGGUGGUGGUGGUGGUGGUGGAGGAUCGCCGGAGCUCGGCGGUGGAGCAGCCAUGGAUGGUGCAGAAAAGAAACGAUGCUUAGUUUUGAGAGACGUGAAUUUGAGAGAGAGAAAAAGAUCUGAUGUAUGUGUAUAUGUUUUGUAAUAAAAAUUCACCCCCUCCUCUUUCCUAUAAUAAAAAAGAUGACCCCUUUCUUUACCCAAAAAUAAAAGAUUAACCUACUUGUCCUCUUAAAAUUCAUUUUAG
rnacentral:lncRNA from 1 species